UCCUGGGUGACUCAGUUGGUAGAGUGCUCCACUGGAAAUGGAGAGAUCCUGGGUUCAAUACCCGGACCAGGCA
rnacentral:tRNA from 1 species